rnacentral:rRNA from 1 species
AACGAACGCUGGCAGCAUGCCUAACACAUGCAAGUCGAACGAGACCUUCGGGUCUAGUGGCGAACGGGUGCGUAACGCGUGGGAACCUGCCCUUAGGUUCGGAAUAACUCCCCGAAAGGGGUGCUAAUACCGGAUAAUGUCUUCGGACCAAAGAUUUAUCGCCUUUGGAUGGGCCCGCGUUGAAUUAGCUAGUUGGUAGGGUAAAAGCCUACCAAGGCGACGAUCCAUAGCUGGUCUGAGAGGAUGAUCAGCCACACUGGGACUGAGACACGGCCCAGACUCCUACGGGAGGCAGCAGUGGGGAAUAUUGGACAAUGGGCGAAAGCCUGAUCCAGCAAUGCCGCGUGAGUGAUGAAGGCCUUAGGGUUGUAAAGCUCUUUUACCCGGGAUGAUAAUGACAGUACCGGGAGAAUAAGCUCCGGCUAACUCCGUG